GAUGAACGCUGGCGGCGUGCCUAAUACAUGCAAGUCGAACGAAUUGCUUGUCUUCGGAUGAGCAGUUAGUGGCGUCCGGGUGAGUAACACGUAGGUGACCUAUCCCGAGGUGGGGAAUAACCACCCGAAAGGGUAGCUAAUUCCGCAUGAUCUCCAGGAUUCAGUUCCUGGAAGAAAGCCGAAAGGCGCCUUGGGCGGGGCCUGCGGCCGAUUAGCUAGUUGGUGGGGUAAUGGCCUACCAAGGCAGAGAUCGGUAGCUGGUCUGAGAGGAUGAUCAGCCACACUGGCACUGAAACACGGGCCAGACUCCUACGGGAGGCAG
rnacentral:rRNA from 1 species